rnacentral:rRNA from 1 species
UAGCGGGGGAUAACUAUUGGAAACGAUAGCUAAUACCGCAUAACAAUGGAUGACCCAUGUCAUUUAUUUGAAAGGGGCAAAUGCUCCACUACAAGAUGGACCUGCGUUGUAUUAGCUAGUAGGUGAGGUAACGGCUCACCUAGGCGACGAUACAUAGCCGACCUGAGAGGGUGAUCGGCCACACUGGGACUGAGACACGGCCCAGACUCCUACGGGAGGCAGCAGUAGGGAAUCUUCGGCAAUGGGGGCAACCCUGACCGAGCAACGCCGCGUGAGUGAAGAAGGUUUUCGGAUCGUAAAGCUCUGUUGUAAGUCAAGAACGAGUGUGAGAGUGGAAAGUUCACACUGUGACGGUAGCUUACCAGAAAGGGACGGCUAACUACGUGCCAGCAGCCGCGGUAAUACGUAGGUCCCGAGCGUUGUCCGGAUUUAUUGGGCGUAAAGCGAGCGCAGGCGGUUUGAUAAGUCUGAAGUUAAAGGCUGUGGCUCAACCAUAGUUCGCUUUGGAAACUGUCAAACUUGAGUGCAGAAGGGGAGAGUGGAAUUCCAUGUGUAGCGGUGAAAUGCGUAGAUAUAUGGAGGAACAC